GCUGGUGGUAGCGUCUUUUCUAAUAAUGUGCUGCAAAGAGUUGUGUGUGGUCUUAUUGAUUGGACAACUUGCCUUACUUAGAAACAAUGGCUUUGGCCGACUCUCGUCGGUGAGAGGAUGAGACCACAGUAUCUCCAGGAAACUUCCUCAAAUGAUAGGAUUACGGAUUCAGACUCUCCAGCUUUCAGCUGCUUGGCCUCUUCAACCCAACACUGUCCGCGCAGGCCAAGUCUCGUCGGGGAGACCCACGUUCUCACUGCUCUCGAGAGGUCCGGGUCCCCAGUCGUCACGGCCCGGUCCGAAGCCUUAGACGUCCAACGAGGAAGGAAGCUUCUUCGGAAAGACAGCAGCAAACUAGAUUAGCAUUUGUUUAUUGUUGAUUUUGUGUUACGGUUUACUGUAUUGUAUUUUACAAGGAAUUCAGUAUGUUUAUAAAAAGCCAAGCUCCAAGCAAGUUAUUGGGAAAAGCUGCAUGAUAACUGUGGUAUUUGUUGCUAUAAUAUUCUUUGAAAGAAAAGUGAAUGAUCCGUUAACAUUUAUUGCUCAACUCAACGAGGGGAUCUGAGAUUGCGCUGUGUCUGCUCUAAGCGGCAGCCAUGUAUAAAUCCUCCCGAGGAGUCCAGACACUGCUGAGGGUGUUUGGAAGUUCUGCUGGAGUUUUUACUGAAUCUGAGAAUGUGAAUCUUGCAAAGUCUUUGGACUCCAUCCGACUAUGUCAGCUGCGCCCGUCUGGCCAAGAAAAUCAACGAGCUGCAAGGAAGAAUAUCUACACCCAGGAAGCCAACUCAUGGACAUCCCCACUUCCGGCCCAGUACAAAAGGAAACAACCAGUUAGCAGCGUGAAGAUGCCAUCGCCCUGCCUCCAGUCACAGUCGCUGAGGGUUCCUUGCUACGGUUCGGGGCUAAGCCUUCCAAUGAAACCGGAUUAACAGCACACACCCUGGAAGAUUACAGUCAGCAAUUCAAACUGUGUCUUAAUACUGGGCGCUCUACCUACUACCCCCGGCAACUCCACUCCUUUUCCGCAAAUCCAAAAGGUCCUCUUAUCUACAAUGAAUAAACUUCUCAAACUCAUGGACAAUCACUGUCACUCCACCGCUGAGAAAUGCAACUCCUUCCUGUCCUUCUGCUAAACCCAAGUUUAGAAAAUCAAACAAUACGAUGACUUUUAUGGGAUUCUACACUACAACUGAAUGCUGUAUUACGGCAUUUCGAUGCCUGGUCAAGAGCUGGCUGGUCAAAAUAUUAUCACUAAUAAAACAACUUUAUAGAAACCAAUUUGCACCAUGUACAGAAUACUUUGUUGUUAAAAUUAAAUAGAAAAAUGUAUCUACACAAUAUACACACAACAUACAAGACCCGCGAGAGAUAAAUAAAGACUUAUAUUUAUAAAAAUUGAGUGCCU
ensembl:lncRNA